AACGAACGCUGGCGGCAUGCCUAACACAUGCAAGUCGAACGAAGGCUUCGGCCUUAGUGGCGCACGGGUGCGUAACGCGUGGGAAUCUGCCCUUGGGUUCGGAAUAACUCAGAGAAAUUUGAGCUAAUACCGGAUGAUGACGUAAGUCCAAAGAUUUAUCGCCCAAGGAUGAGCCCGCGUAAGAUUAGCUAGUUGGUGGGUAAAGGCCUACCAAGGCGACGAUCUUUAGCUGGUCUGAGAGGAUGAUCAGCCACACUGGGACUGAGACACGGCCCAGACUCCUACGGGAGGCAGCAGUGGGGAAUAUUGGACAAUGGGCGAAAGCCUGAUCCAGCAAUGCCGCGUGAGUGAUGAA
rnacentral:rRNA from 1 species